UACGGAGGAUGCAAGCGUUAUCCGGAUUCAUUGGGUUUAAAGGGUGCGUAUGCGGGCUAUUAAGUCAGUGGUGAAAUCCUGCAGCUUAACUGCAGAACUGCCGUUGAUACUGAUAGUCUUGAGUUUGGUUAAGGUAGGCGGAAUGUGUAAUGUAGCGGUGAAAUGCUUAGAUAUUACACAGAACACCAAUUGCGUAGGCAGCUUACUGAGCCGACACUGACGCUGAGGCACGAAAGCGUGGGGAUCAAACA
rnacentral:rRNA from 1 species